AUUGAACGCUGGCGGCAGGCCUAACACAUGCAAGUCGAGCGGAUGAAGGGAGCUUGCUCCUGGAUUCAGCGGCGGACGGGUGAGUAAUGCCUAGGAAUCUGCCUGGUAGUGGGGGAUAACGUCCGGAAACGGGCGCUAAUACCGCAUACGUCCUGAGGGAGAAAGUGGGGGAUCUUCGGACCUCACGCUAUCAGAUGAGCCUAGGUCGGAUUAGCUAGUUGGUGGGGUAAAGGCCUACCAAGGCGACGAUCCGUAACUGGUCUGAGAGGAUGAUCAGUCACACUGGAACUGAGACACGGUCCAGACUCCUACGGGAGGCAGCAGUGGGGAAUAUUGGACAAUGGGCGAAAGCCUGAUCCAGCCAUGCCGCGUGUGUGAAGAAGGCCUUCGGAUUGUAAAGCACUUUAAGUUGGGAGGAAGGGCAGUAAGUUAAUACCUUGCUGUUUUGACGUUACCAACAGAAUAAGCACCAGCUAACUUCGUG
rnacentral:rRNA from 1 species